UACAGCUCAUACAGAGACGAUGUAUUAUAGCUGUACAUUACAUAUAUCCUCUAAUAUAUAUAUAUAUAUAUAUAUAUAUAUAUAUAUAUAUAUAUAUAUAUAUAUAUACCCUGUCAGUAGCUGCCCUGUCCUCACUGUACUGUCUGAGCCAGUGGUGUAGUGGAGGGUCAACACAUGUAGAUGCCAUUCACCUUUUCUUUACUAUUGUGGGAAAAUGCAUUGAAAUACAGAGAUUGAGUGUUACCUUAUUCACUGGAAUGGUGUGGACCGGGGUGAGAUUCAGUAGGGUUGAAGUCAACUCUGGUUUCAACUAGACCGGGGUGAGAUUCAGUAGGGUUGAAGUCAACUCUGGUUUCAACUGGACCGGGGUGAGAUUCAGUAGGGUUGAAGUCAACUCUGGUUUCAACUGGACCGGGGGGAGAUUCAGUAGGGUUGAAGUCAACUCUGGUUUCAGUUCAGACAAUUUGAAAUUCUAUUUGUCAAUAAUCCGAAUCCACAUAGAAAAAUAAUUUGUCUUAUUUCAAUACAAUCAUUGAAAUUCUGAUUCCCGAGUUGAGAUCAGCACUCACAUUUUCACACAAAUCUUCCAUUGACAUCAAUGUAUGAUCUACACGGAAGUCUACUUUAAGUGUGCACAGAGAUCUCAAGGACUAGGAUUCCUCCCAGAUUGACUUUCAGUUCACUUUGUGUUCCGAUUCAGACUUGAGAUAAGUAGACUUACAGUAAAUCCAUUUUUUUGUUUUACUGAAGUCCACGUUUAGUCAACUUUAUCUCAAGUCUGAAUUGUGCCCUUCCUGACCUAAUUUUGAUCUGAAAUGUGUUUUGACCUGAAACCCUGCUGUCUGUCUGUCCCCUUCAGGGCUGUCUGUCAUUCUGCUGGUCAUGUAGACAACCAGACAGUCUGGUUUAAAUCCAGAUGUUUAACAUAGCUGACAAUAGAUUUGUUUGUCUUCCUGUUUGUAUUAAGAGAUUAAAAAAUAUAACAUGGUAGAAGUUCCUCCCUCUGUGAGAUUCUCCCAAUACCCCAAAUAUAUGUAUGUGUGUGUGUGUGUGUGUGUGUGUGUGUGUGUGUGUGUGUGUGUGUGUGUGUGUGUGUGUGUGUGUGUGUGUGUGUGUGUGUGUGUGUGUGUGUGUGUGUGUGUGUGUGUGUGUCUAGUCAAAUGUAGUGCACUAUAUAGGGAAUAUGGUGCUAUUUGGGACUGAACCGAGGUGUAGUUAAGUUAGACAGUUUCUAGGUAAUGUUUUAAAGAGGAGCAGUGUGUGUAUAGGGUUACGGAAUUCCUCUAACUUUCCCAAAAUCCUGGUUGGACGAUUCCUGGAAUUACAACGGAAUACGUGAAUCGUCCAACUAGGAUUUGUUAAAUACCAUGGAACUUUGAGAAAGUUAACGGAGUUCUGCAACGCUACUAGGUGUCUAGAUAACAUCUUUAAACAGGAGGGUGUAUUGAGGUAAUACUGAAUGUAGUGUUGAUAGCACCAGUUAACUGACCAGUCUGAUUUUAGAAGAAACAACUCAGUCUGAACACGGAUCCUAAAUUGAGAUGUAUUCUCAUCAAUAGCAGCAUUAGAGCCACAUUUUUAUUGUGCAAAAUGUACUGUAAAACUUGUUAUAAUGUGGAAGUUGGAUUUCAUUUAAAACUUUUCUUCAACAAUGUGUAACGAGAGGUAUAUUAAUGCAUCACUCAGUUUACUAAACUCUAGUUAGGCAAUCGCCUCUAUUUUAACGCAUAUUGUUGAAGAAAAGCUUCAAAUUAAAUCAAACUGCGAGAUUAUAAUGAGGUUUAUGGUACUUUUGCGCAAUAUUUUUGCAAAAUAGGAACCCUUAAUCAGGGUCUGGGAACCUUCCCCUGUUGAUGAAAUGGAACAGAGUGGGUCUCGAAUAAGGUGCCAUUUUGGAUCGAGACACUAUUGUUCAACUGAAAAUAUUAUUUGGUCAGGAGGUGUUUCAAAAAAAUGUUUUAUUGUGCUUGACAGCCUUGGUCACAUGCAGGUCACGUUUGUGUCUUAAGAGGCAUGUGUGUCCCAAAUGGCACUCUAUUCUCUACGUAGUGCACUACUAUAGACCUUAACCACAGAGGGUUAGCCAUUCAGGGCUAUGGUUAAAAGUAGUACACUACUAUAGACCUUAACCACAGAGGGUUAGCAAUUCAGGACUCUGGUUAAAAGUAGUGCACUAUAUAGGGAAUAGGGUUCCAUUUGGGUUGUAGUUCAUCUGGUUGUAGGUAGUGUAAAUACAAAAUAUAUAGUGUCCUUUUUUUCCACAGCAGAAGAAUGGAUGGUUUUUAAACUAUUGUCUGUGAUUGCAUCUUGAGCUGGUUUUCUAUUUAAUAUAUAUAUAUGUUUGUGCUUAUUUCUUUCUGUUGAUUUGUUGUCUUCUAUGUGGACAGGGACAGGAAAGAUCCCUUUUAUUUGGUUUGUUAAGUAAGUCUUUUCACUACAUUGUCUUGCCUUGAGUUUUUCAAUAAGUUUGGUUUUUCAAUAAGGGACAACCUUGUAUCGUUCUAGCUGAUUUGACUAGAACUUCAAAUUGAUCCUUUUCUCCGUUGUGAAUGAGAAACCACUUUUUCAAGUUCACCUGCAGCCUUGGUUCCAAUACACCUUUAUCCAGACCAAAUAUAACCGUUCAGAUGCGGACUACUAGACAUGAUGACGCAGAAUACACAUUACAUGUAUCCAGUAGCACGUUCAUGUUAAUAUUCUGUGUUACAGAAAUGAAUCACUUUUCUAUCAUGUAGAGGUUACCAGGGUUGGGGUCAAAUCACUUUUUAAAUUCCAGUCAGUUGAGGAUGUACACUGACAUUCCAGUUCCAAUUGUCUUCAAUGCAUUUCAAUAAAGAACAUUUGGAGUUUGGUUUACUUAGUGAAUUGAAAUAGAGCUCCACCCUGAUAGCUAUAUAUAUUGCUGUGUAUACUGAUAGGUGUACUACGCUGUACAACCCUUUCCCCAACCAACGGUAAAACUGUUGUGGCGCCAUCUGGUGUUUAAUGGAAGUAGUGCAGUCUAAUGUCCCCCUUCACGUCUUCACACACCUGGGUCGUGUUCAUUAGUAGCACACCUUAGCAAAACGCUUUACAACAGAAAAUGAGUGUUUCUUAUUAGACAUGUUCAGGUCGUCCCUCCUCGUUUCAGCCUGUUUGCUUCCGUUUGAUUCCUAGUGAAUAUGACCCUGUCCUGUGGUGUAUUCAUUAUGUUUGAUUCCUAAUGAAUAUGACCCUGUCCUGUGGUGUAUUCAUUAUGUUUGAUUCCUAAUGAAUAUGACCCUGUCCUGUGGUGUAUUCAUUAUGUUUGAUUCCUAAUGAAUAUGACCCUGUCCUGUGGUGUAUUCAUUCUGUUUGAUUCCUAAUGAAUAUGACCCUGUCCUGUGGUGUAUUCAUUAUGUUUGAUUCCUAGUGAAUAUGACCCUGUCCUGUGGUGUAUUCAUUAUGUUUGAUUCCUAAUGAAUAUGACCCUGUCCUGUGGUGUAUUCAUUAUGUUUGAUUCCUAAUGAAUAUGACCCUGUCCUGUGGUGUAUUCAUUAUGUUUGAUUCCUAGUGAAUAUGACCCUGUCCUGUGGUAUAUUAAUUUGUGCACACUAGGAAAACGUAGCAAAGUGUUUUGCAACAGAAAAUGCUUUGUAAUGAAAUUGAGUGUUUCCUACUGGAUAAGUUCAGGUAGUCCUUCACUGUUUGCUUCUGUUUGGUGCCUAAUGAAUACAACCAUGUCCUGUUUCCUGCAUCUGGUUUAGUUUGAAUACAACCGUGUCCUGUUUCCUGCAUCUGGUUUAGUUUGAAUACAACCGUGUCCUGUUUCCUGCAUCUGGUUUAGUUUGAAUACAACCGUGUCCUGUUUCCUGCAUCUGGUUUAGUUUGAAUACAACCGUGUCCUGUUUCCUGCAUCUGGUUUAGAUUGAAUACAACCGUGUCCUGUUUCCUGCAUCUGGUUUAGUUUGAAUACAACCGUGUCCUGUUUCCUGCAUCUGGUUUAGAUUGAAUACAACCGUG
rnacentral:lncRNA from 1 species